GCCUGGUUGGCUCAGUUGGUUGAGCGUCCGACUUCGGCUCGGGUCGUGGGUUCGAGCCCCGCACCGGGCU